rnacentral:rRNA from 1 species
UACGAAGGAUGCAAGCGUUAUCCGGAUUCAUUGGGUUUAAAGGGAGCGUAGGCGGCCUUGUAAGUCAGUGGUGAAAUCUCGCAGCUUAACUGCGAAACUGCCAUUGAUACUGCAGGGCUUGAGUACAGAUGCUGUGGGCGGAAUAUGACAUGUAGUGGUGAAAUACAUAGAGAUGUCAUAGAACACCGAUUACGAAGGCAGCUCACAAAACUGUAACUGACGCUGAGGCUCGAAAGUGUGGGGAUCAAACAGG